GCUCAGGAGAGGCGCGCCUCUCGCUGCAAUUGCACCGCUGCUUCCCGACUGUGAGCUUUCCCGGUCGCCCUCCCGUGAUGGGCACCCUGAUGCCUCUACAAUGAACAUCUUUGUGCCUGUCCCCUUAUGAACCUGGGCUCAAGUUUCUCUGGGAUGUGUUCCUGGAAUGGAUUAUUGGAUCAUAUUCAUUUCUAGUAUUACUGGACAAGUUAAUGACACAGGGUUUCUGAAUAUGAGGAAGGUCAAAGAGGAAAAUAUGAUGAGUAAGGAAGCUUGGUCGUGGAAAAAAUCUGUCACUUAGGAUGGCAAUUCAGCUUAACAAGUGAAGCAAUGAGACUGAUGGAAUACACCCUUUCCAAGGAAGAAGUUAUAACAAUUUCUAUUGAUGGUGACAGUAUUUCCAUAGGCCUCUGUUUCCAGGAGGUUAUUUACACUGUCACAGAAGAACACUGAAAACACAUCGAGCCCCACAUCGGGCUCUCUGCUUGGCGGGGAGCCUGCUUCCCCCUCUCUCUGCCUGCCUCUCUGCUUACUUGUGAUCUUUGUCUGUCAAAUAAAUAAAUGGAAUCUUUAAAAAAAAAAAAAGAAUCAGAAAAAUAUUUUAAAUCUCUCUUGACAAAAAGAAUGAAGCUUUUAAAUUAAGAUCAACCAUUAUUAUCAUUACAGAACUAUAUUAUUAUUAAUAUUUUAUUAUAAAAUAAAUUAUUAUAUUCAGGGAAGACAGACUGGCAUCACAUCAGCAUUAUAUCACUAAAACAUAAUCAGUACACAAAAUGUGCUAAGCCUAAACUAAGGAUUCUCACUUUUGAUCUUAAGGUUAUGACAGUUUAUCACAAUUUUUGAGUAAAACUCAUUUUCAAACUUAUUGUAUCUUACUAUAUCAGAACUAUUUCAAAAAGGAUCUUGCGGGGGUGCCUGGGUGGCUCAGUUUUUGAGUGUCCACCUUCGGCUCAGGUCAUGAUCCCAGGAUCCUGGGAUCAAGCCCCACAUCUGGCUCCCAGCUCACCGGGAAGUUUGCCUCUCCCUCUCCGACUCCCCCUGCUUGUGUUCCCUCUCUCACAGUGUCUCUCUCUGUCAAAUAAAUAAAUAAAUCUUAAAAAAAAAAAAAAAAGACCUUAGUCAGUUAGUCAUCUCCGUUAAAAAAAAAAAAAUCCAAGCCAUCCCUUUUCUCUGAAAUCUUUGGAGGUUGCUAUGACAAUAGCAUUUCUAGCUUAGCUCACAAUUCAUGUUCUUUAGUUCUUAUCCAAAGUAACCUGGUUCUGCUUGCUAGGUACCAUCUUCUAAGAGUCCAAAAGAUAGCCCCAAAAGUUUCCUCCAGAGACUAGGACUGGGAAACAAUAGAAUUAUUAAAUGCUGAAUUUUUAAAAAAGCAUUUGUACAUAUAAACUACCAAAACUGCAGUGAGAAGAAAUAGAAGACCUGAACAGACCUAUAAUCAGCAAAGAAAUUGAAUCAGUAAUCAAAAAUCUCCCAAUAAACAAGAAUCCAGGGCUGGAUGACUUCUCAGGGGAAUUCUACCAAACAUUUAAAAAAGAAUUAACACCUAUUCUUCUGAAACUGUUGGCAAAAGAUAUAAAUGGGAGGAAAACUUCCACAGUCAUUCUAUGAGGCCAACAUUACCUUGUCCCAAAACCAGACAAAGACCCCACUAAAAAGAAUUAUAGAGCAAUAUCCCUAAUGAACAUGCAUGCAAAAAUUCUCACCAAUGUAUUAUCUGAUAGGGUCCAACUAUACCUUAAAAGAAUUAUUCACUAUGACCAAGUGGGAUUUAUUUCUGGGUUGCAGGGGUGAUUCAACAUCUGCAAAUCAAUUUACAUGAUGCACCACAUUAAGAAAGAAUAAGAACAAUGGUUCUCUCAAUAGAUGCAGAAAAAGCAUUUGACAAAAUACAGGAUUCUUUCUUGAUAAAAAACAAACAAACAAACAAGCGAACAAGCCCUCCACAAUAUAGGGAUAGAGGGAACAUACCUCAAUAUCGUAAGUCAUUUAUGAAAGACCCAAAGCAAAUAUCAGCUCUCAGCUGAGAGCUUUUCCCCUUAGGUCAAGAACACGACAGGGAUGUCCAUUCUCACCACUGUGUUCAAUAUAAUACUGAAGUCCUAGCCUCAGCAAUCAGACAACAAAAAGAAUUAAAAGGCAUCCAAAUCAGCAAAGAAGUCAAACUUUCACUCUUCACAGAUAACAUGUAGAAAACCUGAAAGACUCCACCAAAAAAUUGCUAGAACCACUAAGGUAAUUUAGCAAAAUCGAAGGAUAUAAAAAUCAAUGUACAGAAGCUCGUUGCAUUUCUAUACAGUAAGAAUGAAGUAGCAGAAAGAGAAAUCAAGGAAUUGAUCCCAUUUACAAUUGUACCCACAACCAUAACAUACCUAGGAAUAAAUCCAACCAAAGAAGCAAAGAAUCUGUACUCAGAAAACUACAGAAUACUCAUGAAAGAAAUUAAGGAUGACAUGAAGAAAUGGAAAAAUAUUCCAUGCUCAUGGACUGGAAGAGCAAAUACUGUUAAUGCCUAUGCUACCCAAAGCACUCUACACAUUCAAUGCAAUCUCUAUCAAAAUACCAACAGCAUUUUUUCAAAGAGCUGGAACAAACAAUUCUAAAAUUUGCAUGGAACCAGAAAAGACCCUGAAUAGCCGAAGUAAUGCUGAAAAAGAAAACAAAAGGGGAACCUUGGUGGCUCAGUCAGUUAAAUGUCUGCCUUCAGCUCAGAUCAUGAUGUCAGGAUCCUGGGAUCAAGCCCCGCUUGGGGCUCCCUGCUCAGAUGGGAGUCUGCUUCUCCCUCUCCCUCUGCCCCUCCCCACCCACCCCUGUUCAUGUGCUCAUGCCCCCCCCCCAUUAAAUAAACAAAAUCUUUAAAAAAGAAAAGAAAAGGAAAAAAGAAAAAGAAAACCAAGUCUGGAGGGAUCACAAUUUCAGACUUCAAGCUGUAUUACAAAGCAUUAUAAUCAUCAGGACAGAAUGGUACUGGCACAAAGACAGACACACAGAACAAUGGAACAGAAUAGAGAACCCAAAGAACCCUUCAACUCUUUGGUCAACUAAUAUUCAACAAAGCAGGAACGAAUAUCCAGUGGAAAAAGACAGUUUCUUCAACAAAUAGUAUUGGGAAAAUUGGACAGCCACAUGCAGGAGAAUGAAACUGGACAGCUUUCUUAUACCAUACACAAAGAUAAACUCAAAAUGGAUGAAAAACCUAAAUGUGAGGCAGGUAUCCAUCAAAAUCCUAGAAGAGAACAUAGGCAGCAAUCUCUUUGACCUCAACCACAGCAACUUCUUGCUUAGACAUAUCUCCAGAGGCAAAGGAAGCAAAAGCAACAUGAACUAUUGGUACUUCAUCAGGAUAAAAAGCAUUUGCACAGCAAAGGAAACAAUCAACAAAACUAAAAGGCAACCUAUGGGAUGGGAGAAGAUAUUCAUAAAUGAUGUAUCAGAUAAAGGGUUAGUACCUAAAAUCUAUAAGGAACUUAUCAAACUCAGCACCCAAAAAACAAAGAAUCCCAUCAACAAAUGGGCAGAAGACAUGAACAGACAUUUCUCCAAAGAAGACAUCCAAAUGGCUAACAGACACAUGAAAAAAAAUGCUCAGUAUCACUCGGCAUCAAGGAAAUACAAAUCAAAACCACAAAGAGAUACCACCUUAUACCAGUAAGAAUAGCCUAAAAAAAUAACUAAGGAAACAACAGAUGC